ACCUACUCACCCCAACCCCCACCCCCGGAAGGAACAACACGAUUUGAGGAACUGAAAGAAGACCUGUGAGAAGGGGGUUAAUGAGCACAGUAGAUAAUUUUGUUUUAAGGUCUGAAUUUAAACGCAAGCAUAAUAAGGACACUGAUUCGCCUGAGAAAGAGGAGAUCUGGGAAGAGGAUUUAGGAGAUUCAUGUCACUAUCAGGACAGGACAUACUGAUGGAAAGAAGGAGGCCACUGUGGUAACCAGAACUGACCCCGACGUGAUUUGAACACGCAACCUUCUGAUCUGGAGUCAGACGCGCUACCGUUGCGCCACGAGGUCACAGAUCUCUUGAGGAGGAAAAGAAACUGGCGUUAGCAGAGGAUGGUUUCGAUCCAUCGACCUCUGGGUUAUGGGCCCAGCACGCUUCCGCUGCGCCACUCUGCUGUGGGGUCUGUGUUGUCAUAAG